UCAGUCUGCUGUGUAACCUAAUGUCAAACGUUCAAAACUGAUAAGGGGGUGUGGUGGCAAGAUGUCUUCAGAGCUGUCACUCACUGAAGAACUGAAUACAUUAUUUCUGCAAUCCCCAAUAAAAUACAAAAAUAAAUGUCAUGUGUAAAACGUGCAGAUCAGUUGAAUGUCCUUUCGGGACGAGACAUGCAGAGGUUCAUUGUGUCCUAAUGAGACAUGCAGAGGUUCAUUGUGUCCUAAUGAGACAUGCAGAGGUUCAUUGUGUCCUAAUGAGACAUGCAGAGGUUCAUUGUGUCCUAAUGAGACAUGCAGAGGGUCAUUGUCUCCUAAUGAGACAUGCAGAGGGUCAUUGUGUCCUAAUGAGACAUGCAGAGGGUCAUUGUGUCCUAAUGAGACAUGCAGAGGGUCAUUGUAUCCUAAUGAGACAUGCAGAGGUUCAUUGUCUCCUAAUGAGACAUGCAGAGGGUCAUUGUCUCCUAAUGAGACAUGCAGAGGGUCAUUGUAUCCUAAUGAGACAUGCAGAGGGUCAUUGUGUCCUAAUGAGACAUGCAGAGGGUCAUUGUCUCCUAAUGAGACAUGCAGAGGGUCAUUGUGUCCUAAUGAGACAUGCAGAGGGUCAUUGUCUCCUAAUGAGACAUGCAGAGGGUCAUUGUCUCCUAAUGAGACAUGCAGAGGGUCAUUGUGUCCUAAUGAGACAUGCAG